rnacentral:rRNA from 1 species
CGGUAAUACGGAGGGUGCAAGCGUUACUCGGAAUCACUGGGCGUAAAGCGCGCGCAGGCGGAUAGGAAAGUCAGAAGUGAAAGCCUGCGGCUCAACCGCAGAACUGCUUCUGAAACUCUCUAUCUAGAGUCUGGGAGAGGUAGCUGGAAUUAGUGGUGUAGGGGUAAAAUCCGUAGAGAUCACUAGGAAUACCGAAAGCGAAGGCAAGCUACUGGAACAGUACUGACGCUGAGGCGCGAAAGCGUGGGGAGCAAACAGGAUUAGAUACCCUGGUAGUCCACGCCCUAAACGAUGAAUGUUAGUCGUUGCCAUGCACGUCAUGGCAGUGAUGCAGCUAACGCAUUAAACAUUCCGCCUGGGGAGUACGGUCGCAAGAUUAAAACUCAAAGGAAUAGACGGGGACCCGCACAAGUGGUGGAGCAUGUGGUUUAAUUCGAAGAUACGCGAAGAACCUUACCUGGCCUUGACAUCCUUGGAACCCUGCAGAGAUGCGGGGGUGCUUGCUUGCAAGAACCGAGUGACAGGUGCUGCACGGCUGUCGUCAGCUCGUGUCGUGAGAUGUUGGGUUAAGUCCCGCAACGAGCGCAACCCUCGUGUUUAGUUGCUAACGGUUAGGCCGAGCACUCUAAACAGACUGCCUCCGCAAGGAGGAGGAAGGUGAGGACGACGUCAAGUCAUCAUGGCCCUUACGGCCAGGGCGACACACGUGCUACAAUGGUUAGGACAAUGAGACGCGAUACCGCGAGGUGGAGCAAAUCUAUAAACCUAAUCUCAGUUCGGAUUGCACUCUGCAACUCGAGUGCAUGAAGCUGGAAUCACUAGUAAUCGUAGAUCAGCCAUGCUACGGUGAAUACGUUCCCGGG